UUGCUCUUUCUGUCCCGAUGCUGAUUGACCUGCAACCCGACCUUCUCUGCAGUGUCAAUUUUGGCCUCUAGAGAGCGUUGCUGUGUAACUUGAACUAAGCUAGAAGCCAAGCAGCCAGCAAACCUUUCGAGGAAGAGCAUCUUGCUGUACGGAUGGAAGGAAGAGUUAAACUCAGAGAUGACUCUGCUCUGUCAGAUUCUCUGUAGCUGAACAGGUUCCAGAAAAUUCUUCGUCACCUCACAUCUGGGACAUGAAGCCUACCCUCAUCGCAGCACUCCUGAUCAUGCUGGCAUUGAGAGGAAUUACAGCCCAGGCAGUGGCUCAGCCUGAGGACCACAUCUCUGUCUUCGAAGGAGCCCCUGUGCAGGUGAAGUGCAACUAUUCCUAUUCUGGGAGUCCUGAGCUCUUCUGGUACAUCCAACAUCCAGGACAAGGCCUCGAGCUGCUCCUGAAACACAUCUCUGGAGGCAGUGCCAAAGGUUUCACGGCCACUCUAAAUAAGAGUGAGAAGUCCUUCCACCUGCAGAAGGCCAUGACUCAGGAGGAUGACUCAGCCAUGUACUACUGUGCCCUGAGCCCACAGUAG